CCUACGGGGGGCUGCAGUGGGGAAUAUUGGACAAUGGGCGAAAGCCUGAUCCAGCCAUGCCGCGUGUGUGAAGAAGGCCUUCGGGUUGUAAAGCACUUUCAGUGGGGAAGAAAGCCUUGGGGCUAAUACCCUCGAGGAAGGACAUCACCCACAGAAGAAGCACCGGCUAACUCCGUGCCAGCAGCCGCGGUAAUACGGAGGGUGCGAGCGUUAAUCGGAAUUACUGGGCGUAAAGCGCGCGUAGGCGGUCUGAUAAGCCGGUUGUGAAAGCCCCGGGCGCAACCUGGGAACGGCAUCCGGAACUGUCAGGCUAGAGUGCAGGAGAGGAAGGUAGAAUUCCCGGUGUAGCGGUGAAAUGCGUAGAGAUCGGGAGGAAUACCAGUGGCGAAGGCGGCCUUCUGGACUGACACUGACGCUGAGGUGCGAAAGCGUGGGUAGCAAACAGGAUUAGAUACCCUUGUAGUC
rnacentral:rRNA from 1 species